rnacentral:rRNA from 1 species
AAUGAACGCUGGCGGCGUGCCUUACACAUGCAAGUCGAGCGAGGCCGGGUAGCAAUACCCGAGUCGAGCGGCGAACGGGUGAGUAACACGUGGAUUAUCUGCCCUGAGGUGGGGGAUAACCCGGGGAAACUCGGGCUAAUACCGCAUAUGACCGUGAGGUCAAAGGGGGGUCGCAAGAUCUCUCGCCUUUGGAGGAGUCCGCGUCCGAUUAGCUAGUUGGUAGGGUAAUGGCCUACCAAGGCGACGAUCGGUAGCCGGCCUGAGAGGGUGAUCGGCCACACUGGAACUGAGACACGGUCCAGACUCCUACGGGAGGCAGCAGUGGGGAAUAUUGGACAAUGGGCGCAAGCCUGAUCCAGCCAUGCCGCGUGAGUGAUGAAGGCCUUAGGGUUGUAAAGCUCUUUGUCCGGGACGAUAAUGAC